AAACUUUUAACAACGGAUCUCUUGGUUCUGGCAUCGAUGAAGAACGCAGCGAAAUGCGAUAAGUAAUGUGAAUUGCAGAAUUCAGUGAAUCAUCGAAUCUUUGAACGCACAUUGCGCCCGCCGGCAUUCUGGCGGGCAUGCCUGUUCGAGCGUCAUUUC
rnacentral:rRNA from 1 species